rnacentral:tRNA from 1 species
UCCGUCGUAGUAGGAUACUCGGCUCUCACCCGAGAGACCCGGGUUCAAGUCCCGGCGACGGAA